AGGCCUCCCGGAUGAGGGGACAGAGAUGUGAAUACAUGAGACCACAGAUCAUGUGACUACCUGGGAAAGAGCCUUCCAGAGGGCAGGAGCAGAUGUGGAGCAUCUCAGGAGCAGUCAGGAGGCCCAUGGAGCUGGCACGGGUUACAGGGUAGCGAAAAUAGAGAUGUAAUGCUUUUCCCAGCCAACCUCGUGACCCACUAAUCUUCCAUCCUUCAAAGGUCCAUGGACCCGAGAUUAAGAACCCCUCAACGAGACCUGAAAGAAGUGAUGCAUAUGGCUCUAUAAAGGCUGAUCAGCAGCGAUGUGCCGUGGUGCCAAGUCUCUCUCAGCCAGGAACCUACUUCCUGCCGACUAGAGGGAGCUGCGGAUGCCCGUCGCCCUGCAGUCCCUCAUGCAGGAGAGAGGAAGAUGCCAAAGGGCCGUGGAAACGGCAGCAAAUGAGGGCUACAGAUCCGGGAAUCCAGCCAGUACCCUGCUUAUCCCAGGGCCCCACUUUCUACCACCUGGGAAGGGACGAUGACCUUCGGUUUGCCUCCACAAUCCCAGCACACUCAUGGCCAUGACCCAUUCAUCACACAGGUGACAUACAGGCCGAGCACUUCACUUCCUGCAGGUUUACAGCAAGAACAGAAUCCCAUGAGAUAAUGUAAGGGGGAAAGGCGUCCUGGCCUGAAUGUCUCCUCCCCUCAGCCAUAGGGAUUGGCUCUGGGAGAGACACGUGAGCCAAGCACGGCCAAUCAGAGUGGGCCCUGGACAUUUUGCUGCAAUUUCUGAGGGAAACAGAUGGGUGGUAAGGCAGGGGGACUGCUGAGGACUUCUUUGCCACCUGAGGGUGAGCAGAGGUGGGGCAGGAGGAAGGGGCCGAGAAUUAAGUUAAACCUGAGAAAGGCAGAGUCUGGAAAUAAAGAGGGGUAAAUUCCUGAUGAGAAUACCUGAGUACUGACUCCAGCUGGGCCAGCUCUGGGAUUUUUCAGGUCCCUGAACCAUUAACUUCCCUUUGCAGUUGAAGUCAAUUUGAGUUGGGGAGGUUCUGUCGCUUACAACAAACUAACAGCACAGGAAGGGACCUGAGAAAUCAAUGCAGCACUCCUUCAUGUUUGGGCGAACAUGACCCUUCUAAGAAGCUGACGAAACAAAACUAUGUCAUGUCCCUCCAGGAAAAAAAGCACAAAAUACUGCCUGUCUCAAAGAUGUCAAAGAUUUCUGAAGCCCCUGUCCGUAGGAACUAAGCGAAGAAUGCUUUGAUCUAGUCUGACUUGUCUGUCCACUUGGUGGAAAAGCAAACUGGGGUCCAAAAUGCGUAAAUGACUUAUCUGGGGCCCAGGGCCAGCUGGGGGGCAGUGCCGGGCUCCCCGAGACCCCCAGGAGGUUUCACCUUGAACUCCCCUGAGUACAGUCCUCCAAGGAGACUGCAGAGGGUAAAGGAAGGCUGCAAGCGAGGCUCCAGGCCCCACACCCUCAUCUCACCUCCGGCAGCUCCAUUUUUUCCUGCUUUAUAAAACAGGCCUACAAGGAAGUGUCUGUCAAAAGUUCCACAAGACCAUAAUCAACAUACUGAAAACCAGUCUUUCAUAUGACAUUUCAGAACACUUACAUGUUAAUGACCUUGAUUUCAACCCUCAUGAAACCCUAUGAAGCAGGCAUUAUCACCAUGGCUCCAGGUGAGCUGUUUCUGCUGGGCUGGCCAGGUCACUUCUCCCCUGACCUCAAGGCUGGCUGGAGCACCUGCCCUUUCUUGUUCCUGGACCUGUACUUCUGGGCCGGGAUUUUCUACCCCACCCCCGUAUUUCCACCUCAAUUCAUAUGGAAAGGAUCAUCCGCUCAUACCUCUUCACUCCCCUUUACCUCGUCCACCCCCGCCCCCUCCCCGAGGAAGAAGGGCUGGCCAAUCUAACGGGCCGGAGAUUGCAACUGUUGCUGGCAUCUGCUUUCAAGUGGGCAGAUUAUUAGCCUGCUGGGCCCAGGCCUACCAGCUCUUUUCUCUGUGUCCCAAGACGGCAGGAGGUUCUCUUCUGUUUCUGUCUUGGAGCAGAAUAAACACCCUGGGCAGUGUCUACCCAGCCUCUAAGAGGGCCUGGCCACAGGCGCUCUCUCUUGACUGAGUGGUGAUGGGGGACAGCCAGGCCUUUCUCUUCUGUGCCGCUGUGUAAGUGGCUGGUCUGGAAGAACCAAACCCACUGCAGCCUUUGCUGUAAGCUUCACUCUCCUUUCUAGACCGCCAGAGCAUCACUGUGGCAUCAGGGAUUACUCACCUACUAAUAAAGUGGUUCAAUCAUC